CACAAGCGGUGGAGUAUGUGGUUUAAUUCGAUGCAACGCGAAGAACCUUACCUGGUCUUGACAUCCCGGAGACCCUUAGGAAACUAGGGGGUGCUUCCAUCUGGAAGAAUCUGGAGACAGGUGCUGCAUGGCUGUCGUCAGCUCGUGUCGUGAGAUGUUGGGUUAAGUCCCGCAACGAGCGCAACCCUUGCCUUUAGUUGCCAGCAGUUCGGCUGGGCACUCUAAAGGGACUGCCGGUGUUAAACCGGAGGAAGGUGGGGAUGACGUCAAGUCCUCAUGGCCUUUAUGACCAGGGCUACACACGUACUACAAUGGCCGAUACAAAGGGCAGCGACACUGCGAGGUGGAGCUAAUCCCAUAAAACCGAUCGUAGUCCGGAUCGCAGUCUGCAACUCGACUGCGUGAAGUCGGAAUCGCUAGUAAUCGUGAAUCAGAAUGUCACGGUGAAUACGUUCCCGGGCCUU
rnacentral:rRNA from 1 species